rnacentral:rRNA from 1 species
ACUCUCGCAACGGAUAUCUCGGCUCUCGCAUCGAUGAAGAACGUAGCGAAAUGCGAUACCUGGUGUGAAUUGCAGAAUCCCGCGAACCAUCGAGUCUUUGAACGCAAGUUGCGCCCGAGGCCACUCGCGAGGGCACGCCUGCCUGGCGUCACGCCAAAACACGCUCCCCAACCACUCUCAACGGGAUCCGGAGCGGCAUCUGGUCCUCGUCUCUCAGGGACGGUGGACGAAGAGGCUCCGGCGUACCGCGCCGCAACAGCGCAUGGUGGGCGUCCUCGCUUAUCAAUGCAGUGCAUCCGCGCGCAGCUGAUUAUGGCUUGAACACCCAUACAAACGAGCGCACGUCGCUUCGACCGCCGACCCCAGUCAGCGCGGGACUACCGCUGAGUUUAAGCAUAUAAUAAGCGGAGGAGAAAAACUUACAAGGAUCCUAGUAACGCGAGCGAACCGGGAGCAGCCCAGCUGAGAAUCGCGGCCUGUGCGCCGAAUUGUAGUCUGAGAGGGCUCAGCGACGGACCGGGCCAAGUCCCUGAAGGGGCGCCUGGGAGGAAGCCCGUCGCCCGGACCUGUCGCCCACGAGGCGCCGUCAACGAGUCGGGUUUGUUUGGGAAUGCAGCCCAAAUCGGCGGUAACUCCGUCCAAGGCUAAUACAGGCGAGAGACCGAUAGCAACAAGUACCAGCGAGGGAAAGAUGAAAAGGACUUUGAAAAGAGAGUCAAAGAGUGCUUGAAAUUGCCGGGAGGGAAGCGAUGGGGGCCGGCGAAUGCGCCCCGGCCGUAUGCGAACGGCUCUUGCUGGUCCGCCGCUCGCUCGGGGUGUGGACUUGUCGGCCGCGCCGGCGCCAAAGCCGGGGCCUAGGUGCCCCGGUGGCCGUCGUCGGCACGGCCGGUACCCGCGCCCGAAAGGCGUGUCCCUCGGGACUGCGCUGCAACGCGCCUGCGGCUCCCAAUCCGACCCCAGUCUUGAACACGGACAAGGAGUCUGACAUGCGUGCGAGUCGACGGGUUUCUGAAACCUGGAUGCGCAAGGAAGCUGAACGAGCGGGAGGCCCUCACGGGCCGCACCGCUGGCCGACCCGAUCUUGUGAAGGGUUCGAGUUGGAGCACGCCUGUCGGACCGAAAGAUGGUGACUAAUCCUGAGCGGGCGAAGCCAGAGGAAACUCUGGUGGAGGCUCGAAGCGAUACUGACGUGCAAAUCGUUCGUCUGACUUGGGUAUAGGGGCGAAAGACUAAUCGAACCAUUCUAGUAGCUGGUUCCCUCCGAAGAUUUCCCUCAGGUAGCUGGAGCCCAUUACGAGUUCUAUCAGGUAAAGCCAAAUUAGAGGCAUUGGGACGCAACGUCUCGACUAUUCUCAACUUUAAAUAGGUAGGAUGGCGCGGCUGCUUCGGUGAGCCGUGCCAUGGAAUCGGGUCUCCAAGUGGGCCAUUUUUGGUAAGCAGAACUGGCGAUGCGGGAUGAACCGGAAGCGCGGGUAUACGGUGCCACAACUGCGCUAACCUAGAACACACAAGGGUGUUGGUCGAUUAAGCAGCAGGACGGUGGUCAUGGAACGUGAAAUCCGCUAAAGGAUGUGUAACAGCUCACCUGCGAAUCAACUAGCCCGAAAAUGGAUGGCGCUGAAGCGCGCGACCCACACGGCCAUCUGGCGAGCGCCAUGCCCCAUGAGUAGGAGGGCGCGCGGCCGUGCAAACCCGGGGCGCGAGCCCGGGCGAGCGGCGUACGGUGCAGAUCUUGGUGGUAGUAGCAAUAUUCAAAGAGACUUUGAAGGCCGAAGAGGAGAAAGGUUCCAUGUGAACGGCACUUGCACAUGGGUAACCGAUCCUAAGGAGACGGGGUAAACCCCGGCAGAUACGCGAUCACGCGCAUUCCCCCGAAAGGGAAUCGGGGUUAGAUUUCCGAGCCGGAUGUGGCGGUUGACGCGACGUUGGAAGUCCGGAGACGCCGGCGGGGCCUCGGAAAGUUAUCUUUUCUGCUUAACGGCUGCCAACCUGGAAACGGUUCAGCCGGAGGUAGGGUCCAGUGGCCGGAAGAGCACCGCACGUCGCGCGGAUGUCCGGUGCGGCCCCCGGCGGCCAUGAAAACCGGAGGACCGAAGUACCGUUCACGCCCGGUCGUACUCAUACCGUAUAGGUCUCCAAGUGAACAGCCUCUGGCCAAUGGAACAAUGUAGGCAAGGAAGUCGGCAAAGACGGUCCGUACUUCGGAAAAGGAUUGGCUCUGAGGACUGGGCUGGGGUCCGGCCCCGAACCGUCGGCUGUCGGCGGAUUGCUCCGAGUGCUCACGCGGCAGAGCGGGUCGCCGCGUGCCGGCCGGGGACGGACGGGAAUCGCCCUCAUCGGGGGCUUUCCCGGAGCAUGAAACAGUCGACUCAGAAACUGGUACGGACAAGGGAAUCCGACUUUAAUUAAAACAAAGCAUUGCGAUGGUCCUCUCGCGGAUGCUGACGCAUGUGAUUUCUGCACGUGCUCUGAAUGUCAAAGUGAAGAAAUUCAACCAGCGCCGGGUAACGGCGGGAAGUAACUAUGAAUCUCUUAAGUAGCCAAAUGCCACGUCAUCUAAUUAGUGACGCGCAUGAAUGGAUUAACGAGAUUCCCACUGUCCUGUCUACUACAGCGAACCACAGCCAAGGGAACGGGCUUUGGCGGAAUCAGCGGGGAAAGGAAGACCCUGUUGAGCUUGACUCUAGUCCGACUUUAUGUGAAAUGACUUGAGAGGUGUAGGAUAAGUGGAGCCCACGGGCGCAAGUGAAAUACACUACUUUUAACGUUAUUUUACUUA